rnacentral:rRNA from 1 species
CUCAGUUCGGAUUGCAGGCUGCAACUCGCCUGUAUGAAGUCGGAAUUACUAGUAAUCGCGGAUCAGCAUGCCGCGGUGAAUACGUUCCCGGGCCUUGUACACACCGCCCGUCACACCAUGAGAGCCGGGAACACCCGAAGUCCGUAGUCUAACCGCAAGGAGGGCGCGGCCGAAGGUGGGUUCGAUAAUUGGGGUGAAGUCGUAACAAGGUAAC